CCUUUGGGCAGCUCGCAGAGACGCAGGAACCAAAGCUGCCUUAGGCAGAGGAAAAACGGAAAGACUGGCGGGGAGAGAGAGGGAGACACUUGCGAAACCAGAGGGGAGAGCUGGAAGGCAGGCGCACGGACAGAAUAAGAAAAUAAGAAGGGAAGAACGCUGCCCUUUGGCAGUGAGGUCAGGGAGAGCUGGAAGGCAGGCGCACGGACAGACUGAAGCAUCCUCCUCUUUCGGUUAAAUCUUUCCAAACUUCUAUUUUAUUUCUGUUUUAAUAAUGUGUAAAUAAACUUAUUUUGGCUAGAGGUUAAUUCAAAGCCAUGAAUAUAUUUGUAAUAUGAAUUGAUUACCUUAAGUUGUGAUUUAUAAGUUGUGAAUUCAAUUUACUUAUCCGUUCGUAUAAAAACUGAUUUGUGUAUGUUGGUUGAGAGUGCACGCUUAAUUUUCAUGCAUGAAUUUGAUGCUAGAAUAUAAGGGAGUUUCACCUAAUCGUUAUGAACUUAUAUUCACAAGUAGUGAAGGUUGCUAGUCAUAAUCACGUUAAGUAAAUUCUUGGCAUAAGUUUCAUGCAAAUCAUAGUAACGAGUGUCUCGUCAAUGCUUAUGUUUUUCAUAGAACUUAAUGAUUCUCGCUUGUAUCUCUAUUAUGCAACUCAUGUAGGGAACUUGUAGGGAAUGUUUUGGGUUGUCGUAUGCAAUCAUCCAACCCAAUAACUUGUGGAAAAACUGAGGGUUAAUUAGUGCAAUUCACGGUUAAUUUGGGGCAUUGAGUAUUAAUAGCUUAUCAAAAAGCAACUGAAAAUCAAUUCAUGUUCAAGUGUGUCAUGUGUGAAGAAUGGAUCUCUAGCUAAUCCAUCAACCAUAUAUUUAGUUUUACUUUUUAUCUCAAUCACAACCAAAACCAAUACCCCCCAUUUAUUUUCUUGUAUCAAAGUGUGCUUAAGUUUGUUUUGAACUAUUUGAGUCUAGUUUAGUGUUUUAAAGCCUACUUUUGUGUUUUUAAGUUUCUUCUUAUAUUUUUGAGUCAAGUGAGAGGUUAUUAGCAAGCCCUCCUAAUCCCCGGCCUAGAACGAUACCCUACUUACAUCUAUACUACAAUUGUCAAAAGAGGGUUUAAUUUGAGUGUGCUUAUAUUUCACGCAUCAAAUUUUGAUGCGAGAAUUUUACUUGACACACAAAUUAAACCCUCUUUUUGACAAUUGUAGUAUAGAUGUAAGUAGGGUAUCGUUCUAGGCCGGGGAUUAGGAGGGAUUGCUAAUCUAUUCUAAAUUAAUUUAAAAAUAUUAAACAAGACUCAAGGACACAAACUAGGCUAAAAACUCUAAUAACUCGAAACACACUUAAAAUGACUCAAAAUAAUGAAAACAAUUAAAUUAAACACUAGGAACUGAAAUGGACGGAAAUUAAAUUAAAAGACUAACAAUAAAGAAAACUAAAUAAAUAAUAUAAUUUAAUAAUGGAUGGGUGUUUGGUUUUGAUGAAAAAUAAAUUAAACUUAAUUAAAUUACAGAAUUGACAAAAACAUGAAAUUAAGGUGAAAUGAUAAAUGACGGACUAGCUAGAGGGUUCUUCUCCACACAUGACACAUAUGCAACCUAAAUUGAUUUUCAGUUGUUCUUUCAAUAAAUUAUUAAUUCUCAAUGCCCCAAGAUAAUUAGGUACGCUUAAAUUAACCCUCAGUUUUUCCACAAGUUAUUGGGUUGGAUGAUUGCAUACGACAACCCAAAACAUUCCCUACAAGUUCCCUACAUGAGUUGCAUAAUAGAGAUACAAGCAAGAAUCAAUAAGUUCUAUGAAAAACAUAAGCAUUGACGAGACACUCGUUACUAUGAUUUGCAUGAAACUUAUGCCAAGAAUUUACUUAACGUGAUUGUGACUAGCAACCUUCACUACUUAUGAAUAUAAGUUCAUAACGAUUAGGUGAAAUUCCCUUAUAUUCUAGCGUCAAAUUCAUGCAUGUAAAUUAAGCGUGCACUCUCAACCAACAUACACAAAUCAGUUUUUAUACGAACAGAUAAGUAAAUUGAAAUCACAACUUAUGAAAUCACAACCGAAGGUAAUCAAUUCAUAUUACAAAUAUAAAUCAUGGCUUUGAAUUAACCUCUAGCCAAAAUAAAAUUAAUUACACAUUAUUAAAACAAAAAUAAAAUAGGAGUUUGGAAAGAUUAAACCGAAAGAAAGGAUCUGCUGCUUGGACUCUGAACUGCAUGGACUCUGAACUGCAUUUUCAUGCUGAUCUCCUGUCCUCUCUACGUCUGCGAGCUGCCCUCCUUCUUUCUGUUUUCCUGUGCUGUCUGACCUCGCUGCCAAAGGGCAGCUUCCCCCUUCCCUUCUCUCCGCAGCUUCACGCUGCCCAAAGGGCAGCCCUCUGCCUUCCACCAAAAUUCCCCUUCCACGAGGCUAAUGCCUCUCACCCUCUUCUUCUCCUCCGUCCGCCAGGCCCUCCUCUUCUAUAUUAUUUCUCCCUCUCCUGACUCUUCCAGCUGCCCAAGGGCAGCUUUUCCUUUCUUCUUGUGCGCUGUCCCCCUUUUCUUCUUUACGUUUUACGCUGCCAAAGGCAGCAUCUCUGACAUACUAUUCGCCUGCCCUCCCACUUCUCUCUAUUCUUUAUUAUUUUUCUUUUCUCCACACUACUGCUGUCCGUCCCUUUUUUUAUUCCCUUAUUCUCUUAUUUCCUUGGAUCCCGCUGCCCACCAGUCCUCCCUAGCUGUCUUCUGGUCCAAUCCCACGUUUUUCACUCCUUUUGCCGCUGUUCCUUUCUUUUUUAUAUUUUUGUUUUCUUUUCUUUUUUUUUCUUCAAAGCUUUUCAAAGCUGCCCACAGGCAGCCCGUCUCCCCCAAUUUCCUUUCUAUCUUUUAUUUUAUUUUUUUUUUCUUUUCUUUUCUUUAUUCUUUCUACAAAACAUAACAAAUCCUGUAAACACAAAAAUAACGUAAAUAGCUCAAAAAUAUAAGGAACUAACUAAGAAAAGACGGGUAAAUUUGAAGUAAAAAUAUAUAUAAAUAUGAUCCGAUCAAAUACCCCCACACUUAACUUUUGCUAGUCCUCGAGCAAAACAAAGAAAACUAGAACAAGCAGUAACAAAAAAAAAAAAAAAAAUAUAUAUAUAUAUAUAUAUAUAUAUAUAUAUAUAUUAGCUUCCCCCUAUGUGACCCUCAUAGAAUUUCAUUCGAGAAAACAAAUCAUCAAGAACCAUGGCUAGCACCAAACAAAUUAAUCCAAGUUCAUCUUCCUUAUUCAAAUAUUAGCAGUAAUCUUUGAAUCAUCCUUGAAGUGUAGUGUGUGAGAUAGCCAUGCUUAUGCAAUUUCAAGUUUUUAUUUUUAAAAUCAUCAUAUGCAAACUAGCGACCUUCUCACUGGAUAUGCACUCAAUCACACAUGUGUUUAGUUUUAAUGUGUUUCGCUCAAAGAAUCAAAUGUGAAAUUUCUACCAUAAGCUUGCAUAAAGAUCACUUCUCCACAGUCAUAAUUGCAAAACUUAAAUCAAGAGGACUUUUAUUGGAUGUAAUGAGGCUUAGGGAUAGGGUUAUUGAAAUGAAAGAAUAGGAAAACACAAGUUCCAAGCUACAUUGCAAGCAAUUCUUUUGUCUAGAUUUAUAAGAACUCAAGCUCUCCAACGAUCUUCUGAAACCUCCAAUCACACCCUUAAACUGAAACUUUAAAAACUUUUUAUUUUCUUUUUAUACAAUUUUUUUUUUUCUUUUUUUUCUUUUUUUUUUUUUUAAAUCACAAACAUGAAAUACCCCCACACUUAUUCUUUUGCCAAACAUCUUCACAAUACUUCACAAACGUUUCUCAUAAGACAAUCUCGCAUUGCUCGCUUGGAAAGGGUAAGGAAAAAUGUUUCAGGUAUAAGGGUAGACAUAUCUGGUGAUAAGAAAUAAAAAGGCUCAACAUACACGGCUCAAAUUGGCAAUCUAAUGAUAUCAUUUUUAUUUGGGAAACAUGGUUAUUUGGGCCAUAGUGAUAAACCUAAUGCCUCUAUCAUUUCCAAGUUCAUGCAAUCAAUGACAAACAUUUCGAAAGAUCGUUACGCAAGUUCUAGAGAUGUAUCUCACAUAAGUUCAUCACACAUGAAAGAAUAGGAGUGUAUGAAAAAUGCACACACUUUCAAUAGGCUCAAAGAACUCACAUCGGAUGUAUAUGGUCACUAAAUUCACAUAUGAAGCUUUAAGUCAUACUUUAGUUUCACAUUAACAAGGCUAUGUGCAUUUGGUUUUUCAAAGAUGAUCAAACAUGUACAAAACUAACAAGAGAAUUAGGAAUUUCACAAAACACAUGUUAACUAAGUUCUUGAUAAUCAUGAUUCAAAUUUGAUCUAAUUAUAUCAUUGGGUCGGGAAACUAACAAAAAUCUAAUUCAAAACAAUAAGGGAAACAAGACAAUAUUUUUGGAUUUUUAAAUUUUCCGAAUUUUUUUUUUUUUUUUUUUUUUUUUUAAAGAAAACAAAAAGCAACAACACAGAAACACAACACAGAAACAAAUGAAAUUCUGGAGAUUUCUACCCCCACACUUAAACUUGACAUUGUCCCCAAUGUCAGAAAACACUAUAAUGCAAAUAAAAAUAAAAUAAAAUAAAUAAAUAAAUAAGAAACAAAAUAACGCAAUUGGACUGAAAACUUCCCUAAUUUGCAGUAAAAUCAAGCGAUGACCCCCAAGCUAAAAUUCUGCAAUCAACUUCAAGGGUGGAAAUAACCAAAAGUUCCUGCAAAGAAAAGAAAUAAUUCAGUUAAGUACGCAAGAAAAUUAAUUAAAAAAAAAAUUGCAAACGAAAAAUUGAAAAUUACGAUAAAAGAUAAUGAAUAAAACUAAUAAGUGAUCAUUGGUCGUGCUUGUUGACUUUCCACAGCUUUCCUCUUGAACAGGGUGACACUUAGCUUUUCACUUGCAAGUGAUGAUUUUAUGCUAUUGUACUGCGAGGCUUUGCUCUUUGGCUAAGGUGCCCUCCAAAUGUUGUUGAAGCUUCUCGAGUUCUUCAACUCGGACUCCUUGUGCUGGUUUGAUUGUACGAGCUGCAUUCUUCUCUGCUUGUUUCCUCUGCAUGGCGGGCAGGCACAAGGUAGCUGUUUUGGUCUGAUUCUUUCUUCAAUCUUUCCAAGUGCCCACCUCUUGCUUUCUUUCUCCUUCCCUAGCUGAGGAUGAAUUGGCAAAUUGUCUCCCCAUGCUUCGAGGUCUCAUUUUCACCUCCCUUACUUGUCCCCCAAGUAGAUGUGGUAGACAAAACGGAAGCAUAAGAUGGCAAAUUGUCUCCCCAUGCUUCGAGGUCUCAUUUUCACCUCCCUUACUUGUCCCCCAAGUAGAUGUGGUAGACAAAACGGAAGCAUAAGAUGAAGAAGAGAGGCAGCAAAGCCAUAGACAUCUCUAGAAUUUCAUUUGUUUCUGUAUUGUUGCUUUUUGUUGUAUUUAAAAAAAAAAAAAAAAAAAAAAAAAAAAAAAAAAAAAAAAAAAGAUAUAUAGAAGAGAGGGCAGAGAGCAGUGGGGAGGAGGUGAUUUUGGGGGGGGGGGGGGGAAUUGGUGGAAGGCAGAGGGCUGCCCUUUGGGCAGCGUGAAGCUGCGGAGAGGAAAGAGGAGCAGACAGCUGCCUUGCUGCAGCAGAAAACCGAGGAGGACUCGGACUGGGUGAGACGAGAGGAGAAGUCAGAGCAGCGUGGGAGCCAGAAGCUGACGUGGAGGUCAGGAAGAAGGCAGAACGAAGGAGGUCAGCGCACAGGAAGCAGAAACACUCUCGCUCUCGGUUAAAUCUUUCCAAACUUCUAUUUUAUUUCUGUUUUAAUAAUGUGUAAUUAAAUUUUAUUUUGGCUAGAGGUUAAUUCAAAACCAUGAAUAUAUUUGUAAUAUGAAUUGAUUACCUUCGGUUGUGAUUUCAUAAGUUGUGAUUUCAAUUUACUUAUCCGUUCGUAUAAAAACUGAUUUGUGUAUGUUGGUUGAGAGUGCACGCUUAAUUUACAUGCAUGAAUUUGAUGCUAGAAUAUAAGUGAAUUUCACCUAAUCGUUAUGAACUUAUUUUCACAAGUAGUAAAGGUUGCUAGUCACAAUCACGUUAAGUAAAUUCUUGGCAAGAGUAUCAUGCUUUUCAUAGUUACGAAUGCCUCGUCAAUGCUUAUAGUUUUCACAAAGUUUAAUGAUAUUUGAUUGUAUCUCUAUUGUGCUUUUCACGUAGGGGACUUUUGAAGAAUGUUUUGAAUUGUUGUAUGCGUUUUUCCCGUCCAAUUCAAUAACUUAAGGAAAACUUGAAGAUUAAAAAAGUGCUGUUCACGGUUAAUCUGGAGUAUUGAAAUUCACAAUUUAUUAAAUGAACAACUGGAAAUCAUUUUGUAUGCAAGUAUAACAUGUGUGGAGAAGAACCCUCUAGCUAGUCCGUCAUUUAUCAUUUUACCUUAAUUUCAUGUUUUUGUCAAUUCUGUAAUUUAAUUAAGUUUAAUUUACUUUUCAUCAAAACCAAACACCCAUCCAUUAUUAAAUUAUAUUAUUUAUUUAGUUUUCUUUAUUGUUAGUCUUUUAAUUUAAUUUCCAUCCAUUUCAGUUCCUAGUGUUUAAUUUAAUUGUUUUCAUUAUUUUGAGUCAUUUUAAGUGUAUUUCGAGUUAUUAGAGUUUUUAGCCUAGUUUUGUGUCCUUGAGUCUUGUUUAAUAUUUUUAAUAGAUUAGCAAUCCCUCCUAAUCCCCGGCCUAGAACGAUACCCUACUUACAUCUAUACUACAAUUGUCAAAAAGAGGGUUUAAUUUUGUGUGUUAACUUAUUUUUCACAUCAAAUUUUGUAUUUGAUCGGAUCAUAUUUAUAUAUAUUUUUACUUCGAAUUCACUCGUCUUUUCUUAGUUAGUUCCUUAUAUUUUUAAGCUAUUUACGUUAUUUUUGUGUUUAUAGGAUUUGUUAUGCAAAGAAAAUAAAAAUAGAACAAGUGAAAUUUUAUGUAAUAAAUUCGUCAAAACUGUCUGUGUAGAUUAGCUUUUAAAUAAAAAUAGGAAAUUAUUAGAUCCCAUAAUUUUAGUUUAUAUUUUUUUGCUGAAUUGGACCCUAUGUCCAAAAUAAAUCUACGACCCUCCUAGGUGGUGGAGACCUGAUUAUUAUUUAAUGGUGCUAAGUACUUAGCCAAAGAAGGUUAUUAAAGAUUCAUACUUUUUGGUGGAGUUUGGUAAAACCAGGUGUAAAGAUGGAAAGUAUUUGAGACUUGAGUGAGGAGAGAAAUGGCAGACAAAACAUAGCACGCAAGAAAGGAAGAUAAGUGGAACGAAAAGAAUGAAUAAAAGAGGCAAAGAAGAAAGACAUGCACACGGAAUAAUAAUAUAAGAAGCAUGGGAUGGAAGUGGAACAAAAAGCAGGAGAGGGAGUGAGGAGUGACGGGAUAAAAGCAAAGAAUGGCAGACAAGAAUAAAAGAAGAAGUCAGGAGUGCAGUUAGGGAGAGACUGUGCGGAAAAAGAGGGCGCGGGGAGAGCAGUGCGCACGGAUUAAAAGCAGAGGAGUACAACGUAUAAUAAAAGAAGAGUCGGGGGGAGCGGGAGAAAGGGGCUGCCCUUUGGGCAGCUCGCAGAGACGCAGGAACCAAAGCUGCCUUAGGCAGAGGAAAAACGGAAAGACUGGCGGGGAGAGAGAGGGAGACACUUGCGAAACCAGAGGGGAGAGCUGGAAGGCAGGCGCACGGACAGAAUAAGAAAAUAAGAAGGGAAGAACGCUGCCCUUUGGCAGUGAGGUCAGGGAGAGCUGGAAGGCAGGCGCACGGACAGACUGAAGCAUCCUCCUCUUUCGGUUAAAUCUUUCCAAACUUCUAUUUUAUUUCUGUUUUAAUAAUGUGUAAAUAAACUUAUUUUGGCUAGAGGUUAAUUCAAAGCCAUGAAUAUAUUUGUAAUAUGAAUUGAUUACCUUAAGUUGUGAUUUAUAAGUUGUGAAUUCAAUUUACUUAUCCGUUCGUAUAAAAACUGAUUUGUGUAUGUUGGUUGAGAGUGCACGCUUAAUUUUCAUGCAUGAAUUUGAUGCUAGAAUAUAAGGGAGUUUCACCUAAUCGUUAUGAACUUAUAUUCACAAGUAGUGAAGGUUGCUAGUCAUAAUCACGUUAAGUAAAUUCUUGGCAUAAGUUUCAUGCAAAUCAUAGUAACGAGUGUCUCGUCAAUGCUUAUGUUUUUCAUAGAACUUAAUGAUUCUCGCUUGUAUCUCUAUUAUGCAACUCAUGUAGGGAACUUGUAGGGAAUGUUUUGGGUUGUCGUAUGCAAUCAUCCAACCCAAUAACUUGUGGAAAAACUGAGGGUUAAUUAGUGCAAUUCACGGUUAAUUUUGGGCGUUGAGUAUUCAUAGCUUAUCGAAAAGCAACUGGAAAUCAUUUUGUAUGCAAGUAUAACAUGUGUGGAGAAGAACCCUCUAGCUAGUCCGUCAUUUAUCAUUUUACCUUAAUUUUAUAUUUUUGUCAAUUCUGUAAUUUAAUUAAGUUUAAUUUACUUUUCAUCAAAACCAAACACCCA
rnacentral:lncRNA from 1 species